rnacentral:rRNA from 1 species
GAUGAACGCUGGCGGCGUGCCUAAUACAUGCAAGUCGAGCGAACAGACGAGGAGCUUGCUCCUCUGACGUUAGCGGCGGACGGGUGAGUAACACGUGGAUAACCUACCUAUAAGACUGGAUAACUUCGGGAAACCGGAGCUAAUACCGGAUAAUAUAUUGAACCGCAUGGUUCAAUAGUGAAAGACGGUUUUGCUGUCACUUAUAGAUGGAUCCGCGCCGCAUUAGCUAGUUGGUAAGGCAACGGCUUACCAAGGCAACGAUGCGUAGCCGACCUGAGAGGGUGAUCGGCCACACUGGAACUGAGACACGGUCCAGACUCCUACGGGAGGCAGCAGUAGGGAAUCUUCCGCAAUGGGCGAAAGCUUGACGGAGCAACGCCGCGUGAGUGAUGAAGGUCUUCGGAUCGUAAAACUCUGUUAUUAGGGAAGAACAAAUGUGUAAGUAACUAUGCACGUCUUGACGGUACCUAAUCAGAAAGCCACGGCUAACUACGUG